rnacentral:ncRNA from 1 species
GAGAAGAUUAAUUCUGUCUUUGAGUUUAAUUAGCUAUUUAAGGUAAUAUUAAAUAUAAAUUUUUGUGUGGGUUUUAAUUUGUCUAAAUGGUGGAUUUUAUACAUUUAUUUUUAGUUUUUAGUUUUAAAGUUAUUCAUGUAAUUAUGUAUUUAGUUAAUUGUUUAUAGAAUUGUAAAAUUUUGUGCCAGCAUACGCGGUUAUACAAUUAAUUCAAGUUAAUUUUUUUGGUUAAUAUUAAUUUUUAUUAUUGGAGUUAUAUUUUUUUUUAUAAGGUGAAAUUUUUAAUUUAUUUAUAUACUCUUGGUUUUAUAUUAUAUGAAAUUUAGGAUAUAAACUAGGAUUAGAUACCCUAUUAUUCUAAAUGUAAAUUUUUAACCAUAGUAUUAAUAGUUAUGAUCUUUAAAUUAAAAGAAUUUGGCGGUAAUUUAGUCUAUUCAGAGGAACCUGUUCUUUAAUCGAUGAUCCACGUUGGAUUUAACUUUAAUUUUUGUUUGUAUAUCUCUGUCAUUGAAUGUUUUAUUAGGAUAUUUUCUUUAAUUUAUUAAUUUAAGUGAUGUCAGGUCAAGGUGCAGCUAUAUUAAAGGUUGAAAUGGGUUACAUUUAAUGUAAUUAAUUGGAUUGUUAUUGUUGAAUUAACUUAACAUGAAAUGGGAUUUGAAAGUAAUUUUUAUUAUUUUAUAAAAAUGAUUUUAGCUCUAAAUUAUGUACACAUCGCCCGUCACUCUCAUUUUAAGAUGAGAUAAGUCGUAACAAAGUAAUUUUACUGGAAAGUGAAGUUAGAAUUAU